UACGUAGGGUGCAAGCGUUGUCCGGAAUUAUUGGGCGUAAAGAGCUUGUAGGCGGUUUGUCGCGUCUGCUGUGAAAUUUCGGGGCUCAACCCCGAACUUGCAGUGGGUACGGGCAGACUAGAGUGCGGUAGGGGAGACUGGAAUUCCUGGUGUAGCGGUGAAAUGCGCAGAUAUCAGGAGGAACACCGGUGGCGAAGGCGGGAUCCUGGGCCAGUACUGACGCUGAGGAGCGAAAGCGUGGGGAGCAAACAGG
rnacentral:rRNA from 1 species